rnacentral:lncRNA from 1 species
AUGAUCAACCAUUUAGUGCAUAUCACUUCAGUAAUUUUUAAUUGACUUAUACUAGCAACUCCUCAUUUUUUGCUAUGAACGCUUGGUUCCGCAUAUACCAUAGCUAACCAUUUAGUCUAAUUCUUUAAAAUAUGAUCCAUCUUACGAAGCUAUUUUGACUCUUCUUUCUGACAAGCACCUGCACUAUCACUUCAGUGUCUCUACACUGUGGACUCGAGUCUCGUCUAUCCAUAAGAAAAGCGAUCUGUGCACUGAUCUCAUCGGAUCGAUCACCGUCCUCGUGAUGAUCCAUUGAUCAGGAGCAUUUAGAAAUUAAUCACCAAUGAUACAUGGCUCAAAUUCUCAACUCUUGAAAAUAUGUAUCAUCAUCUUAUUAAUUUCUUGGAUGAUUCAUAGACACAUAAAAAAUAUGAAUAAAAAAGAUGCCUGUGGAGUGAUUGAUUAUAACCCUAUUUGAUUUUGAUGAGCUCAAAGCAUUUGAGUAUAUCUUAUGUUUACUAAUGAAUUCAAUCUAGUGUUUCAGUGAUAUUCUUGUAAAUUUAAGGUUAAGUGUCUCUAGAUUUGGUUCAAGACAAUUUGGAUAAGUUAAGAAGUCAAGAUGAACCAAAGUCUGAGACUCGAGUCGACUCCGGGAUAUU